CACGGCCGCUAGGGGUGUCGCCAGGGUCCGCACCGGAGCCGGUGGCUGAGAGAGUCCCUUUGAACCUGAUUGAGAUCAUCCUCGCGCAGGGAAGCCCGUCCGCCAUGCC
rnacentral:ncRNA from 1 species